CAAUAAUUUGGCCCAUAAUGCUUGUAGCAUAAUGUGGGUUGUAAAUUGGUAAAUGCUUCUGACAUUACAUGUCCUUAAAUGACAUAUUGAAUUUGACACAAAUCAAAUUUGUAACUGACAAAAUAUACAUAUUAAGCUACAAUUAAGUAACAUAAUUAGCACUGAAAUGUCGUUAUACCAUUGACGUAACAUUUACUAACGGAUUUUAUUUAAACCCUAUUAAGAGCAAUAUUAAUUCCUUUUUAUCACUAAAUGCUUCAGGCAUAAUGAAUAUGGAAUAUAUGUAACGUCUGCUAUCAUUGACCAAAUUAAUAGUAAAACCUUAAUGGUUACAAGCACUACUUCCGGAAUGCAUGCAUGAUCUUGAGUUUGGAUAUCAUGAAAAACUAUACUUUUUGCUGAUCCAUGUGCCUCCUUGUCUGCACUACUAGGCAGUUGCGAAGGUUGAUUUCGGUGGCUACUGACUUCCAUAGUGAUUUCCUUUUUUGGUGCUAUAUUUUCCUUUUCCAAUUCUCAUAACAUAAGAAAACUUAUAUGACAUUUCAUGUUCAUAUGUAUUAACCAAAUAGACUAAUACAAUAUAUUUGGUGCUCAUGCAUCGUAGACGGAUUUUUCAAUAUGCAAUCAAAGUUAAUAAGCAUGAAAUCAUAAAAUCGAAACAUAAACAACAUAUGGUUCAUGCUUCAGGAUGGUUUUUCAUGUAAUCAAGGUUUAAAAGAAACAUGAAUUAUAAUAGAGUUUAGAAAACUUUACUCGAUGCAAAACGAAUCAAUGAGUGUUCAUCUUAUG
rnacentral:lncRNA from 1 species